GGGGAAUCUUGCGCAAUGGGCGAAAGCCUGACGCAGCCAUGCCGCGUGAAUGAUGAAGGUCUUAGGAUUGUAAAAUUCUUUCACCGGGGACGAUAAUGACGGUACCCGGAGAAGAAGCCCCGGCUAACUUCGUGCCAGCAGCCGCGGUAAUACGAAGGGGGCUAGCGUUGCUCGGAAUUACUGGGCGUAAAGGGCGCGUAGGCGGAUCGUUAAGUCAGGGGUGAAAUCCCAGAGCUCAACUCUGGAACUGCCUUUGAUACUGGCGAUCUUGAGUAUGAGAGAGGUAUGUGGAACUCCGAGUGUAGAGGUGAAAUUCGUAGAUAUUCGGAAGAACACCAGUGGCGAAGGCGACAUACUGGCUCAUUACUGACGCUGAGGCGCGAAAGCGUGGGGAGCAAACAGGAUUAGAUACCCUGGUAGUCCACGCCGUAAACGAUGAUUGCUAGUUGUCGGGCUGCAUGCAGUUCGGUGACGCAGCUAACGCAUUAAGCAAUCCGCCUGGGGAGUACGGUCGCAAGAUUA
rnacentral:rRNA from 1 species